AAAAGAAGGAAGAAGUGCAUUCAACUCAACCGAACAAGUACUUCCUUUGCAAUCAAGGCUCUACUACUGUCAUUCAAUCUUCUGUGCAUUCAAGAGGAGACUCAGAAAUCGAGAAGCCCCUACUUUCCCUUCUGAAAUCUGUUUGAGGGCUUCUAACCUUUCUCUAUUAAUAUUGUUCACAUCUGCUUUUUACAAGCUUUCCUUGUGAUUUUUCCAAACUGUUUUUCUUACUUGAUUCAUUCAGGGAAUUGAAUUAAGGAUAGUAAGGUUUGUUAGUGAGCCAAAGUUAAAACCAACGGUGUAAGGGUUUGAUUGUGAUCCCGGAAAAACAAUCGGGUGGUUCUAGUCGAUGAGCCUGUGAAAACCGACCGAGUUCGUUGUGAUCUCAUGAAAACAAUAAGUUGGGUUGUAAACUUGUAAAACAACUAGCUGUAAUCCUAGGGAUUAUAGUGAACUCCUAAGUACGGCUUGGAAAGUGGACGUAGGAGCAAGAGUUGGUUCCGAACCAUUAUAAAGUCUCUUGUGUUUGUAUUGAUUAAUUGUCUCUUCCACUCUCUCUAUUCACUACAUCUAAUAAUCUAUUUAAUCUGCUUGCAAUAGAUUUAAUUAAUUACUCAUUAAGUUUAAAUUUGUCAAUAAUUAAUUAAAACCCAAUUCACCCUCCUCUCUUGGGUUGUCUCCUUGGGCAACAAAGCAAUAUGUGCACUAAUCUCAGCGGAUCAAUCACCGUCCUCGUGAUGAUCCAUCAAUCAGGAGCAAUUGAGGAAUUAAUCACCAAUGACACAUGCCUUAAAUUCUCAACUCUUGAGAAUAUGCGUCACCAUCUUAUUAAUUCCUUGGACGAUUCCAUGGACACAUAAGAACAUGAAUGAAAAGAAUGCCCAACUUAAUAAAUUCAUAAUUAGGUCAAGUAUAAAUUUAUGUCCCAGAAUAAAGUAAUGCGUCAGCCAAAUUGGCUUCUAGGGCAUACUUCUAACAGAAAGAAGCAUUAGGCUUCAUCUUCAAAUUUUUUUUACUUUUUGCAAUCAUUUCUUUUUAUGAAAUCUAUCAUUUCUCUUUCAUGCAAUCCUUGUUCUA
rnacentral:lncRNA from 1 species